UACCUGCAGGCAAGAGAAGAGAACAUGGAUGUUUCCAGAAAGAUGGGACUCUAUAUCGUCUUUUUGCUUUGCUCCGUUUCCCACAGUUGAUGGGCAGCCUUGCAGGUAGAGAGUUUGUUUCCUUUUCUAGCUUGCCGCAAGCCCACACAGCAGUGCCCUGGACCAGGCUUAGACUCCUGAGCCAAGGGAGUUCUUGCUGGAGGAUUCCAAGGCCCGUGGAUGUGAGAAAUUGGGAUAACUAUGCAGCUGGCAGAGUCCGGGAUCUCUAAAAACAGAAAGCAAGCAAAGGCACCCGCUUUCUGCUGUGUUCUUUGUUCCACACGCAGUGUGGCCACAGUUCCUGCGGAAGGAGUCCACUGUGGCUGUCACCUGCCUAAGGGUGGCGAGAAAGGGCAGAUAAGCUGGUCUGCUGGUCACCCUAUGUGGGUCAAGAUGGUCCACCAGAAAGAGUAUGCGUCCUAGGCUGGUGACUGUGAUGACCUCCGUGGGGGAUACAUCGUGUCACUUCAAGUUACUGUCAGACUUCCUCUAUGAACCAGGGCUGUGUCUGCAAAAGAUGCUAUUUGCCUUCCAGUUCCAGGAAAUCAGCCAUCUCUCCACAUUGGGAGCACCCUCCCUGUUGUCUCCACUAUCAUGAGGAGAUUGAGGAAUGAGAGGGAAAGUGUGUGGGGGGGUGUCCUUUAGCAUUUGGGCAUGGGGCAUUGGUGACAGGGGUCUGGUUACCUCACAGGAUGAUAUCCUCAUAGUUAUUUAUGUAGUCACCACACGGCGGCUACUGAAGAAGUCAGGGCCAAGUGCCCAUUUGCCAAAUGUACCUUACAUAUUAGUUCAUCCCACUUGCAACAUGCUUCCAUGAACUCCCCAAGAUUGGGAUCUCAGAUAAGCUAGGUUCUCUGUCCUUUUCACUGGCUGGCUUCAUAGCUUAUAUCCCAGGCUCUUAAUAAGCAUGUGAAAUACCCGAGUGAGAACUAUAAAUCUGCUUUCCCAGGCAUAUCAGGAUUCAAGGAAAAAUAGCAAUGUUAGAAUAAUCUCAUUUUAAUGAAUUCUUAGCUUUAUCCCACGAGCUAUACAUAACAAGGAAUUAUCUUUAACCAUCUGUAAGCUUAUGGAUACAAGAUCUUCUUGCUCAAGAUUACUUGUAUUAGUUUGCCAUACAACAACAUAUGGUCAUUUGUUUUUAAAAACCAGAUACAAUAUUCUAGAAAAGAAAAUUGGUUCUCA